ensembl:lncRNA
CAUAAAUAGGUAGGAGCAGUUUUGCUAAAUACCAAAAGUAAGGACAAAAUCUAGCUUAUGUAUUUGAACAUGAAGUAAGUAAGAGCAUAAGUGGACUUUAUUUUCAGUUCCUGUUCCCCUGUACUGUAGAUUACUGAGAUGCAAUUAAUGUAUAACUUCAGUGAUGCAAAACUCAUCAAAUAAAGUGCUAAACAUGCAUACCAGGGGUGCAAGAGCCUUUGGACAGUGGUGUUAAAGUGUGCAUGGCUUUAUGAGUGGGAGCCACAGGACAGGGCAAGACAGAAACAGAAGUGAUGUAACAUUUAAUUGCAAUUACACACUAAGAAAAUGAUCAAACGUAUGAAUACUUUCCAAGAAGUCUCUGCUGCUUCAAAACAGACCUGACCAUGGGAAAACUGCUACAAACUUAUCCAUACACCCAUACAUCAGAGAAAAUUAGGUUGGGAAUGACCUCUUAUGUUAUAUGAAUUUAGUACAUUUUAGAUGAAAUGACCUGAAUCUGAAAGCACUUCAGCAACAAAUAACAUGAUAAAGGAGGUAUCUCCAGCACACCAAGAAGGCCAUAUGGAGGACCUUCUAGCCUGGAAGGACCAUUCAAACUACAGUGAUUCAAUACAAGAUGAUUAAGAUUAUUCAAUAAGUCCCUGUCAAAGAAAAGAUUGCAUUGCCACAGUAAAGACCUUAAUUAUUGUAUGUAUUUGGUGUUACUUUUUGACAUAAUAUGAGGCUGCCUACCAAAUAAAUGAGAAAUGACUUGAUGCAAGGAAAACAUUUUGCUCUUGAUAUAGCAAUUUAUAUGCAUUAUUAGUCAUCUCUAUUCAAAAAUAUGCCCUGGUAUUUAAAAUAAAUUUAUGCAAUGUUAUUGUUAGUCAAUUUUAUCUAAAUUAUUCCUUCCUACUGUUACCGUAAAAUGUAUUUUGAGGUCAGCAUUUCUAAAUAUUAAUUAUAAUAAAGAAUUUACUUUUAUCCAUGAAUAUCUAACUUGUACUUAGCCUCCAACUCAAGUAAUUAAUUUCAUAGAAUCGUAGAGUGGCUUGGGCUGGAAGGAACAUCAAGGGUCAUCACUUUCCACUCCCCUGACACAGGCAGACUUGCCAGACCCUCAAUCAAAUACUGGACCAGAUUGUCCAGAGCCACAUGCAACCUGGCCUUGAACACCUCCAGGGAAGGGGCAUCCACAACCUCUCUGGGCAACCUGUUCCUGCACCUCACCACUCUCUCAAUAAAGAACUUCCCCUUGACAUCUAAUCUAAAUCUUCCUCUCUUUAGCUUGAAAGCCUUCCCUUUUGUCAUAUUACUAUCUACCCAUAUAAAAAGUUGAUUUCCUUAAUGUUUAUAAACUCCCUCUAAAUACUGGAAGGCUGCAAUGAGGUCUCCCUGCAGUUUUCUCUUUUCCAGGAUGAACAAGAUCAGUUUCUUCAGCCUGUCUUCAUAAGAGAAGUGCUCCAGUCCUUGGAUCAUCUUUGUAGCCCUUCUCUGGAGCCUCUCCAAAACCUCCAUAUCUUUCCUGUAUUGGAGGCCCCAGACCUGGACACAGUACUCUAGACGGGGCCUCACAAGGGCAGAAUAGAGGGGAACAAUCAACUUCCUCACUCUGCCGGGUAUGCUCCUAAUUUUUCUGUUUGUGGAGUAAAUGCUUUUAACAUGCAGCCACACUAAGUGUAUCACCUCUAAAAGCAUCUUACCAAGAACAAGACUCCAGUUCAAGUACAAUGGAUCUUCAGCA